AACACUGUUAACCUGCGGUACCUGCGGAGGGAUCAUUAUAGUAUAUGGAAUCUCCAUUCUAUAAACCCACUCUGCGUAUCUUGUAACUGUUGCUUCCAUGGGACUUGGUUCCGCCACACCGGCCUCACGGCUGGUGAGCGCCCAUGGAAGGAGAAACAAAACUCUUCUUUGAAAUGUAGUCAGUCUGAACAAGUUUUUAUAAACGUUAAAACUUUUAACAAUGGAUCUCAGAUCGGAAGA
rnacentral:misc_RNA from 1 species